rnacentral:rRNA from 1 species
CGCUGGCGGCGUGCUUACACAUGCAAGUCUAACGGGAUNUCNGGAACUUNCUNCCGCCGUGAGAGUGGCGAACGGGUGAGUAAUGCGUGACCGACCUGCCCCGUACACCGGAAUAGCUCCUGGAAACGGGUGGUAAUGCCGGAUGCUCCAAUGCGAUGCAUGUCGCGUUGGGAAAGAUUUCAUCGGUAUGGGAUGGGGUCGCGUCCUAUCAGGUAGUCGGCGGGGUAACGGCCCACCGAGCCUACGACGGGUAGCCGGCCUGAGAGGGCGACCGGCCACAUUGGGACUGAGAUACGGCCCAGACUCCUACGGGAGGCAGCAGUGGGGAAUAUUGCACAAUGGGCGCAAGCCUGAUGCAGCGACGCCGCGUGCGGGAUGGAGGCCUUCGGGNAAAAACCGCUUUGUCGGGGAGCAAGCCUUCGGGUGAGNNCCCNU